rnacentral:rRNA from 1 species
CGAAAGCGAGUCUGAAUAGGGCGAUUGAGUCGCGUGUCCUAGACCCGAAGCGGAGUGAUCUACCCAUGGCCAGGUUGAAGCGCGUGUAAGAGCGCGUGGAGGACCGAACCCACUUCAGUUGAAAAUGGAGGGGAUGAGCUGUGGGUAGGGGUGAAAGGCCAAUCAAACUCCGUGAUAGCUGGUUCUCCCCGAAAUGCAUUUAGGUGCAGCGUCACGUGUUUCUUCCCGGAGGUAGAGCUACUGGAUGGACGAUGGGCCCUACAAGGUUACUGACUUCAGCCAAACUCCGAAUGCCGGGAAGUGAGAGCGUGGCAGUGAGACUGUGGGGGAUAAGCUUCAUAGUCGAGAGGGAAACAGCCCAGACCACCGGUUAAGGCCCCUAAGCGUGUGCUAAGUGGGAAAGGAUGUGGAGUUGCUGAGACAACCAGGAGGUUGGCUUAGAAG